rnacentral:misc_RNA from 1 species
AAUUCUCAACCUCACCCAUUUUGUCAUGAAAUGGUCUGUGUAGGCUUGGAUGUGGAGGUUUUUUGCAGGUCCACUUCUUUUUGUGGUCUGCUCCUCUGAAAUGCAUUAGUGGGUUCCGCCCCUAAAUCUAUUGGUGUGAUAAUUAUCUACGCCAUUGAUCUGGGUUUGGCAAUACAAAGAACCUGCUGACAACCGUCCGUCUCGGACAAGUUUUGACAU